rnacentral:rRNA from 1 species
GACGAACGCUGGCGGCGUGCCUAAUACAUGCAAGUUGAGCGCUGAAGGUUGGUACUUGUACCAACUGGAUGAGCAGCGAACGGGUGGGUAACGCGUGGGGAAUCUGCCUUUGAGCGGGGGACAACAUUUGGAAACGAAUGCUAAUACCGCAUAAAAACUUUAAACACAAGUUUUAAGUUUGAAGGAUGCAAUUGCAUCACUCAAAGAUGAUCCCGCGUUGUAUUAGCUAGUUGGUGAGGUAAAGGCUCACCAAGGCGAUGAUACAUAGCCGACCUGAGAGGGUGAUCGGCCACAUUGGGACUGAGACACGGCCCAAACUCCUACGGGAGGCAGCAGUAGGGAAUCUUCGGCAAUGGACGAAAGUCUGACCGAGCAACGCCGCGUGAGUGAAGAAGGUUUUCGGAUCGUAAAACUCUGUUGGUAGAGAAGAACGUUGGUGAGAGUGGAAAGCUCAUCAAGUGACGGUAACUACCCAGAAAGGGACGGCUAACUACGUG